rnacentral:rRNA from 1 species
AGAGUUUGAUCCUGGCUCAGGAUGAACGCUGGCGGCGUGCUUAACACAUGCAAGUCGAACGGGAUUUGUUAAGUUGAAACUUCGGUCGAUUCUUUUUAAAUCUAGUGGCGGACGGGUGAGUAACGCGUGGGUAACCUGCCUCACACUGGGGGAUAACAGUCAGAAAUGACUGCUAAUACCGCAUAAGCGCACAGCAUCGCAUGAUGCAGUGUGAAAAACUCCGGUGGUGUGAGAUGGACCCGCGUUGGAUUAGCUAGUUGGCAGGGCAGCGGCCUACCAAGGCGACGAUCCAUAGCCGGCCUGAGAGGGUGAACGGCCACAUUGGGACUGAGACACGGCCCAGACUCCUACGGGAGGCAGCAGUGGGGGAUAUUGCACAAUGGGGGGAACCCUGAUGCAGCGACGCCGCGUGAGGGAAGACGGUUUUCGGAUUGUAAACCUCUGUCUUUAGGGACGAAAAAAAUGACGGUACCUAAAGAGGAAGCCACGGCUAACUACGUGCCAGCAGCCGCGGUAAUACGUAGGUGGCAAGCGUUGUCCGGAUUUAUUGGGUUUAAAGGGAGCGUAGAUGGGUUGUUAAGUCAGUUGUGAAAGUUUGCGGCUCAACCGUAAAAUUGCAAUUGAUACUGGCAGUCUUGAGUACAGUUGAGGUAGGCGGAAUUCGUGGUGUAGCGGUGAAAUGCUUAGAUAUCACGAAGAACUCCGAUUGCGAAGGCAGCUUACUAACCUGUAACUGACAUUGAUGCUCGAAAGUGUGGGUAUCAAACAGGAUUAGAUACCCUGGUAGUCCACACGGUAAACGAUGAAUACUCGCUGUAGGCGAUAUACAGUCUGCGGCCAAGCGAAAGCAUUAAGUAUUCCACCUGGGGAGUACGCCGGCAACGGUGAAACUCAAAGGAAUUGACGGGGGCCCGCACAAGCGGAGGAACAUGUGGUUUAAUUCGAUGAUACGCGAGGAACCUUACCCGGGCUUAAAUUGCAACCGAAUAUGGCGGAAACGCUAUAGCUAGCAAUAGCGGUUGUGAAGGUGCUGCAUGGUUGUCGUCAGCUCGUGCCGUGAGGUGUCGGCUUAAGUGCCAUAACGAGCGCAACCCUUGCCGAUAGUUACUAACAGGUUAUGCUGAGGACUCUGUCGGGGCUGCCAUCGUAAGAUGUGAGGAAGGUGGGGAUGACGUCAAAUCAGCACGGCCCUUACGUCCGGGGCUACACACGUGUUACAAUGGGGGGUACAGAGGGCUGCUACCACGCAAGUGGAUGCCAAUCCCAAAAACCUCUCUCAGUUCGGAUUGAAGUCUGCAACCCGACUUCAUGAAGCUGGAUUCGCUAGUAAUCGCGCAUCAGCCACGGCGCGGUGAAUACGUUCCCGGGUCUUG